AGUUGCUAUUGAUGUUAUGUGUAGGCUGGAGUGUAUGGAACUCUAUCUGGGGACAGGUGAUCAGUCAACAGAGAGUUUGUGGGUCAGGGUCAAAGGGAGAACAGCAAUGGGGGACAUCGC